CUUGAGUUAGAAACUAAAGAGAACUUCAACUACGGCGAUACAAUUUGCAGAUAGGCCGAUGAGUGCUUCAGAUUGGAAAUCAUCUGAGGCAUUGAAGAAAGGAAUAUCAUUGGUGAAUUAGCUUGCUUGACUUCGACUCGUCAGUGGAGCGAGUGUAUCAGUGAUUUCGACUCGCCCUCAACUCUAGCCAGUCUCCAGCACAUCAGGUUCCAGGGUGAGCUAUUCAUUCCAGCUCGUGUUGGAUUCUCUU